rnacentral:rRNA from 1 species
UAACGCGUGGGUAACCUGCCGUAUACAGGGGGAUAACACUUAGAAAUAGGUGCUAAAACCGCAUAAGCGCACAGGAUCGCAUGGUCUGGUGUGAAAAACUCCGGUGGUAUACGAUGGACCCGCGUCUGAUUAGCUUGUUGGCGGGGUAGAGGCCCACCAAGGCGACGAUCAGUAGCCGGCCUGAGAGGGUGAACGGCCACAUUGGGACUGAGACACGGCCCAAACUCCUACGGGAGGCAGCAGUGGGGAAUAUUGCACAAUGGGGGAAACCCUGAUGCAGCGACGCCGCGUGAGUGAAGAAGUAUUUCGGUAUGUAAAGCUCUAUCAGCAGGAAAGAAAAUGACGGUACCUGACUAAGAAGCCCCGGCUAACUACGUGCCAGCAGCCGCGGUAAUACGUAGGGGGCAAGCGUUAUCCGGAUUUACUGGGUGUAAAGGGAGCGUAGACGGUGAAGCAAGUCUGAAGUGAAAGGCGGGGGCUCAACCCCCGGACUGCUUUGGAAACUGUUUGACUGGAGUGCAGGAGAGGUAAGUGGAAUUCCUAGUGUAGCGGUGAAAUGCGUAGAUAUUAGGAGGAACACCAGUGGCGAAGGCGGCUUACUGGACUGUAACUGACGUUGAGGCUCGAAAGCGUGGGGAGCAAACAGGAUUAGAUACCCUGGUAGUCCACGCGGUAAACGAUGAUCACUAGGUGU